UCGCCGCGGGGACGGAAAGAAGGAGGAGCGCGUGUGUUGGCUAGAAGCUGGGGAGGCUUCUCACAUGUCUCCUCUAUGAGGUGCGUAGGGUGGCGGUACAUGAACCGGAAGUUCGAGAUGUACUCGAACCAUCCGAAGAAAAUACCGCCACACCAGACACCGUUAGGAGGAGAGGAGGUGCUGUCCCGUCGCUGCUUUUGUGUAGGUGUGUAGUAUUACGGUACUGGGAGCGGAACUCCAGAUUUAUGAGCAUCCGGACCAAGUACCGUACACCAAACACCGAUGAUUAGAGGGACGGGAAAAAUCUUGAACUGCCAGUACCAUGGGGCCAUCAGCUAUCAUACCAAAGAGGAAAAAUUAACUAAACACGGACUAAAGAAAAAGCCAAGCCAUCAAACUCAGUACUAGAUCCAAAUCAAGGUGAAACAAAGCCAAUUAACUACUAUGCACGACAGAAGAACAAAACCAUUGAGGAAAGUAAGUAGAAACAAACCUAGGUGAUAUUAGGAUAAUCUAGAUACUAUACCACGGACAAAAUAGCAAAAAGAAUACCUUGAAAAACAAACCCGUGCAAGAAACAAACAAGAAAGCCCAGACAAGCAAUAUUUUCAAUAGAAAGGGGAGAAACCUGCAUGUGGAAGCAUAUCAGGUAACCAGAGCUGACGACACUGUACACAAUUGGUACUUGACGUACUAAACUCCGGAACAUCAAAACAGGACCAACAACAAUAACCUUUAGAGACUGGACAAGAAUAAAGGACACGUGAUACACAUCUAAGUAUUUGAUCGAAUGUACUGACAUCUCACUUAUAUUUAGUCAACCUAGACCAAGAAAUGGUACUUGACGUACUAGACCCGGUAGUAUAAAAACUUUACCAAAAUCGAUAACCAUGGGAGACUACACAACAAUAAAGGUCACAAGACACACAACUAAGUAUUUGAUCGAAUUAACUGACACCUCACUUAUCUUUAAGAAACCUAGACCAAGACAGGUAAAUGAAACCAAAAACAGAAAUACAACUAAACUUUACAAAUAAAAGUACACGUAACAAACACAAAAACUGUCGAAUGAAUUGACAUUUUUUGCACUUUUUAACGUAGUCUGCAGGGGACUAACAUAGGUAACAUGACGGAACUAGACACCAACGACAUGGUCAAACUAAUACGUCGAUAUGGACGUAAAAUACAACCACUUUUUAGCGUAGUCAGUAAACCGGACUGCUUUAAUUCCUUGAAGUCGAUAUAACCACAAACAAUGACUGACUAGAACGUAGUCACAAACAGUGAAAAAGACACUUCCAGUUACAGUAUAUCUUUUUAUCCAAUUGUUGUCAAUAGGAACACACGUGAAAGGAAAACAAAAGAUUAUAACAAAGAAAGUCCCGAGGCUCCGACAAGAAUCCCUAUGUCAAUUCGUUCCCCAAGUCCAACCAAACUCUUUACGAAAGUUCCUAAACUUGAAACUCCGACCACGGUCAAGUCUCCAAUCUAAACAACACCAGUCUCUCCAACAUCUACGUCGUCAGCAACUACGAGAAUUUCUCCGGUUGGAGAUGAGACUAGUUGACGGACAGGAUAAACUCCUCGUUCUUAAAUAGUUUGAACGACAAUUUGUCCCAAAAUGACUCCGGCAAGUUCUUUACCUUGUCGCGUCAUGAACGGUUUGCGGGGAAGUCUUCCCCCACAAACUGUGACGAUAACAACCAGAAUUUUCCCUAGACCUUAACCGAAGAUUUUGAUGGUACGUUCUUGACUUUUUACCGAGACUACUUUUCAAACUUAGCCGGUACCUGUCGAACUGUCUUUUCGACUUACAAAAAUACGCUUGUAUACUUCUGUACAAAAGACAAAUACUCCAUCAUCUACACCGAAGUGCUUGACUGUGGUGAUACCUUCCUCUACUCGGACUAGUUUGUUUGAGUUGGUACCUUCCCCCACUACGACUACGCUGUUUCAAAUGGUACCUUCAUCGAUUCCGACUAUCAUGUUUGUAAUAUUUCAUUAGACUACCCUGUUCGAGAUGGUCUCUUCUUAGACUCCGACCAUUUGUUUUGAGAUUUUUCCCUGCGUUCUGUUUCAAACUGAAUAAACAACUUGUCAUGUUUGUUCUGUGACAGUUUUGAGUCCCCCAGGAGCUAUAUGACCAACCAUUCGUUCGUCUAUAUCAACUACUAACCAUGUUUCUCUACCGACUCUUUAAGAAUCUACUUUGGACCUACUUUUCCGAGUUCCACUAGUUUCGACAUCAAGGAGUGCACCGGUUUUAGAAAAAGGAGAUACACAAACAAUUUUACUACGCCGUUUCGUUUCAAGGAUAUACCUUUAUGGGACGCCGACGAGCUCGACCGUCCAAUCGGCGUAGCGUCUUUUAAAACCUUUACGAACUCCUCCGACUCUUCGAGCUUUUCCGACUCUCCGACUUCUUACCGCCUCUGUCGUUCGACAAGAGCUUUUACACCCGCUAGAACUUCUCACCACCGUGAUGAAGACCUUUCCCACUCGUCUUCGGCCCCUUCCUACACGGCUUCGUCCCACCCCUACUCCUGUUCAGUCCCCUCCUACCUGGGCUGCUAAUCAAAAUCAGCUAAAGAAAACAAUCGUCAUACAAGGAAGACAACAUGAACCAAAAAACGAUCGUAGAUAUACGUCACUUGACCCAUUGAAAUCAACCGUCGAACACUUAGUUUGACACCAUGAUGAGAUAGAAGUCACCAACGAGGUUGUGUAAGUAACGUCCGUCAGAAACCAUAGGAGUAAUACACACUUGGACGAACACUAAGUUUGACACAAGAGAAGUCAUCAGUUAGUUUUAGUAAACGUAGUAGACGGGAAUGAAGUUUAUAGUCAGUCGUUUUGUAUCAACAGAAACAGACGUUGUCAUACAUGCACUUGACACUAACGUUUGCGACAACACGAACGUUACGCGUUUUAAACCUCCGUUCUUUUCUGGGAUCAUUUCCCCGGCACUCAACCUUGUUCCGUAUAGAAUUGGCGUACUAACAACCACUAACGUUACAAAAAAGAACACCCCUACAGAUAAACACAGGUGAGGGUAAACCUUCGAUU
rnacentral:rRNA from 1 species